rnacentral:rRNA from 1 species
GGGACGAUCAGCCACACUGGGACUGAGACAGGCCCAGACUCCUACGGGAGGCAGCAGUAGGGAAUCUUCGGCAAUGGGGGGCAACCCUGACCGAGCAACGCCGCGUGAGUGAAGAAGGUUUUCGGGAUCGUAAAGCUCUGUUGUAAGUCAAGAACGAGUGUGAGAGUGGAAAGUUCACACUGUGACGGUAGCUUACCAGAAAGGGACGGCGUAACUACGUGCCAGCAGCCGCGGUAAUACGUAGGUCCCGAGCGUUGUCCGGAUUUAUUGGGCGUAAAGCGAGCGCAGGCGGUUUGAUAAGUCUGAAGUUAAAGGCUGUGGCUCAACCAUAGUUCGCUUUGGAAACUGUCAAACUUGAGUGCAGAAGGGGAGAGUGGAAUUCCAUGUGUAGCGGUGAAAUGCGUAGAUAUAUGGAGGAACACCGGUGGCGAAAGCGGCUCUCUGGACCAUAACUGACACUCAGGGACGAAAGCUAGGGGAGCGAAUGGGAUUAGAUACCCCAGUAGUCCUAGCCGUAAACGAUGGAUACUAGGUGUUGUCUGU